ACGUAGGUGGCAAGCGUUGUCCGGAUUUACUGGGCGUAAAGAGCGCGCAGGCGGUUGAUUAAGUCGAAUGUGAAAGCCCCCGGCUCAACUGGGGAGGGUCAUUCGAUACUGAUUGACUUGAAGGCAGGAGAGAGAAGUGGAAUUCCCGGUGUAGUGGUGAAAUGCGUAGAUAUCGGGAGGAACACCAGUGGCGAAGGCGACUUCUUGGCCUGUUCUUGACGCUGAGGCGCGAAGGCUGGGGGAGCAAACGGGA
rnacentral:rRNA from 1 species